AUUGAACGCUGGCGGCAUGCUUUACACAUGCAAGUCGGACGAGUGGCGAACGGGUGAGUAACGCAUCGGAACGUACCGAGUAAUGGGGGAUAACCGUCAGAAAGGACAGCUUAUACCGCAUAUUAUUCGAGAGGCCUAUGUGUGUUUAGCUUGUUGGCGGGGGAAAGGCCCACGAAGGCGACGCGCAUUAGCGGGUAUGAGAGGAUGAUCCGCCACACUGGGACUGAGACACGGCCCAGACUCCUACGGGAGGCAGCAGUGGGGAAUUUUGGACAAUGGGCGCAAGCCUGAUCCAGCCAUGCCGCGUGUCUGAAGAAGGCCUUCGGGUUGUAAAGCACUUUCAGCGGGGAGGCGUUACCCGCAGAAGAAGCACCGGCUAACUCCGUGCCAGCAGCCGCGGUAAUUC
rnacentral:rRNA from 1 species